GCCGCGGUGGUGGAACUGGUAGACACACGGGCCUUAAAAGCCUGUUCUCCGUAAGGAGAGUGCGGGUUCGAGUCCCGCCCGCGGCAC
rnacentral:tRNA from 1 species